GGACUACUGGGGUAUCUAAUCCUGUUUGCUCCCCACGCUUUCGCGCCUCAGCGUCAGUUCCGGUCCAGAUAGCCGCCUUCGCCACUGGUGUUCUUCCCAAUAUCUACGAAUUUCACCUCUACACUGGGAAUUCCACUAUCCUCUCCCGGACUCAAGCCCAACAGUAUCAAGCGCUAUUCCCGGGUUAAGCCCGGGGCUUUCACGCCUGACUUGAAGAGCCGCCUACGCGCGCUUUACGCCCAGUAAUUCCGAACAACGCUAGCCCCCUUCGUCUUACCGCGGCUGCUGGCAC
rnacentral:rRNA from 1 species